rnacentral:rRNA from 1 species
GACGAACGCUGGCGGCGUGCUUAACACAUGCAAGUCGAACGGAAAGGCCCUGCUUUUGUGGGGUGCUCGAGUGGCGAACGGGUGAGUAACACGUGAGUAACCUGCCCUUGACUUUGGGAUAACUUCAGGAAACUGGGGCUAAUACCGGAUAGGAGCUCCUGCUGCAUGGUGGGGGUUGGAAAGUUUCGGCGGUUGGGGAUGGACUCGCGGCUUAUCAGCUUGUUGGUGGGGUAGUGGCUUACCAAGGCUUUGAUGGGUAGCCGGCCUGAGAGGGUGACCGGCCACAUUGGGACUGAGGUACGGCCCAGACUCCUACGGGAGGCAGCAGUGGGGAAUAUUGCACAAUGGGCGGAAGCCUGAUGCAGCAACGCCGCGUGCGGGAUGACGGCCUUCGGGUUGUAAACCGCUUUCGCCUGUGACGAAGCGUGAGUGACGGUAAUGGGUAAAGAAGCACCGGCUAACUACGUG